rnacentral:rRNA from 1 species
UACAGAGGUCCCAAGCGUUGUUCGGAUUCACUGGGCGUAAAGGGUGCGUAGGCGGUCGGAUAAGUCUGAUGUGAAAUCUUCGAGCUCAACUCGGAAACUGCAUCGGAAACUAUUCGGCUGGAGGAUUGGAGGGGAGACUGGAAUUCUCGGUGUAGCAGUGAAAUGCGUAGAUAUCGAGAGGAACACCAGUGGCGAAGGCGAGUCUCUGGACAAUUCCUGACGCUGAGGCACGAAAGCUAGGGGAACAAACAGG